ensembl:lncRNA
AUUGGGGAUUCAGGAAGCAGCUUCACUAUCAUAACAAAAGCGUUAAGAAACGCGUUUGUUGACAAAUUAUGUUACAUUUCCUGGUCUUUUAUCGUCAGUCAGUCUGUAACGUGAAGUACUUUCAGUAUGCAGACGGUCUGUUAUCUUGUCAAAGUUUACCGUCUGAACAAUGUGCUGUUAUUUCGUUUAUUUAGACCACUUUGCUAACAUCACUGGCAGGCUACAGAGUUAGCCGAAACGGCUAACUUAAAUCCUCCAGGAACUUAAGUUGGAGGAACAUUUUCCAUCAAGUCUGGGCAUCCGAUGAAACUGUAGCACCUUCCAAUAAAAGUGGAGUAGUGUGUGUUCAUAGAGAACGAUGCCACGCUUGCAGUCCGGUGUGUGGAAGCAUUUUACCCCAGCCAUCAAAGAUGGAAGAGAGACCUUCAUGUGCAACUACUGCUCAAAGACAUACACAAAGAACGCGACUAAGAUGCAGAUGCAUUUAGACAAAUGCAAGGAGUACUCUGUGGUUUUGCAGCAGUCGCCCGGCCCAGAUGGGAGCUCCUCUGCCUCCAUCCCUGUUCCCUCCUUAUCGUUCUUGCCAUCUGCCACUCCUGGGGGACAGUUUCUCAUUGAUUCUGUGGAUCAGCGCAGCCAGGCGUAUGCCGACGAGUGCCUGGCGAGAGCUGUGUACGCCACAUCUUCACCCCUCACUCUCACAGACAAUAUUUACUGGAAACGAUUUUUCAGUGUUCUUCGGCCGGCUUAUUGUCCGCCCCCUAGAGAGGCUCUUUCCUCACAUCUGUUGGACUGUGAGUUUGACAGAGUACAAAGCCAGGUUCAUGAGAGCAUAGGGAAAGCAGACUGCGUCGCCAUCAUCAGCAGUGGCUGGUCUAACGUGAAAGAAACUGGGACUAUUAUCUAUGCUGUUGCUACUCCCGUACCGCUGUUUUACAAAUGCACAAUGACAAAGGAGCAGACACGCACAAGCACAUUUAUUGCUGACGAACUUAAAGGCGUCAUAAAUGAAGUCGGUUCACAAAAGGUUUUCGCUGUCGUCACUGACGAUGCCCCGGAAAUGAUGGCAGCGUGGGCUCAAGUGGAGGAAGCUUUCCCGCACAUAUCAGCUAUUGGCUGCACAGCGUCCGGUGUCGAGCGUCUCUUUGACGACAUAGUGGCGCAGCCGUCUAUGAAGUCACUGUGUAGGAGAGCUGAGCAGGUGGUGAGGUGUGUUCAAGAGCGGCAAAUGUUAAGUGACACUUUUAGGUGCUGGCAGACUACAAAAAUAAGAGACCACACUUCUAAAGGGACAGCACUGGAACUGCCCUCUGGCACAAACUGGACUAGUGUGGUUAACAUGUUCAGCAGCCUCCUCGAGGGUCAGAACUCUCUACGAGAGAUGGCAGUCUCUCCCACACUGGAUAUUGAAGUGACUGUCAGGGCUACUUUGCAGGAUGCCGAGUUUUGGAAAGGGCUGAGCAGCAGUCGGAACUUACUGUACUUGAUUGGGAAUUAUAUUGAUUUCUUGAAAAGAGAAGAUGCCGCGCUCUCUGGUGUUGUCGACAUGUUCAGUCAGCUAAGAUACGUCAUCGGGACUUCUCUGUCAGCAUCUGUGCUGCACAGCGGCGAGCAGAAAGCUGUCAUGGCAUCAUUAGACAGGUGUCAGGAGUUCUGCGUGAAACCUAUCCACGCAGCAGCGUACAUGCUCGAUCCAAAGCACGUCGGACAGCAGACGCUCACCGGGGAGCAGAUAAACAGCGCUUACUAUGCGAUAUCCAACCUGUCGCACCAUUUGAAUCUCGACGAGGGUAAAGUGCUCGGCAGCUUUGCCAGGUUCUCGGCCAAGCAGGGACUGUGGAAGGGGGCUGGAAUAUGGAGCUCGUGUCAGCACGUGUCCGCAUCCACAUGGUGGAAAGGCCUGUGCUCUUCUGAGCCGCUCUCUGCCGUAGCCUUCGCUAUACUCCAGAUCCCACCGACAACAGGUGCGUGCGAGCGCCUGUGGCAGCACCUCCGUAGUAUGAAGAUGAAAGGCUUUGUCUCAGCGGAGAGGGUGCAGAAACUUGUCGCAGUGCAGGCAAAUCUCAAUCUUUUAGAGCCAAGCGACUUCGACUAUGCUCCACUGGAGAGUGACGAAGAGAAAAAGGCUUCAUUUCAAUCAGAGUCUCACCAGUAAGAAAAAUGCCUUACAGUGUAAUAAAAUACAACUAUUAGACUAGAUGUACAUUUCCUUUCAGUGUAAAGGAUUCGAACUACUCCGCAAAACUAAGUAAACUGCACCAUGCUCAUGUUUCUUUAUUCAAUCCAAGGCUUUUAGAGAAAACACCUUCAUAAGGAGACACUGAAUCAGAUGCCUUCAUGUGUUUUAAUAAUCUACAGUGAAUUCAAGUUUUUUUGUAUUACAUAAUCACAGUAUGUAUCAACCUUUUAAUCACAACUUAAAAUAUUAACACAACAGCAAGGUCAUAUAUUUCUUACAGCAACUAAACGAUGUAAAUAAAACUACUGUAUUUAUUGAAGAUAACACUUUUGUCUCUUUUGCGUUUAUACCUGCAACUUCACCUUCACACACAUUAAAAAGUGUUUCUGCACAAAUGUUCUUCAGAAAUACACCACAAUAAUUUUAACAAGUUAGAUCUAAUCUUUAUAGUGAAGUUGCCAGGUUACCAGCAAUUAUUUUAACAUCUUUUUUUCCCCAGUGGAAUGAGCGUAGAAGUAAUACGCUGUAGAGAUGUUGGUAGUUAUGUUUUCUUACUUUGAGGUUUCCACUCUUUGCCCUAAGCCAAGUGGCCGUUGGUCUUACAUUUAAUAGAGUGCUAAAUUUGUGAGUUUAAAAGGUUUAGCACCUUAAACCGAACGUUAUACAAUGAAAUAAAAUUAAGUUUUGCAUUGGUUUUUAAAUUAAACGCAUCAUAAAAUAAGCUCUGAUGUAUCUAUGCAAUGAGGCACUUACUGUUUCCUCACUCCAUUACUCCCACACCCUACACGGGUCUUUACCUCAUCUCUGUCACCACCUCCGCUGUCUUGUGCCAGCGGUUUUGCACCGGGGGGGCCUUGGGACUCCGAGGGCUGAUCUGGGCCUUAUAAACACUAGC